UACUAAAAAAAUUGAUUAAUUUUUUUUAAAAGGUACAUAAAACAAAAACUAUGAUACACGUUUAAAUAUUACAACAACACUAAUAGUUUGGUAAAUUUGUUUCAAAACCUCUAGUUCUCUAAAAUACUGUCCAAAUAUAUUUGGUAUAACCGAAGAUAGAACAUUACGGAAAUAAACUUAGGGAAUAAUGUGAUACUUUUUUGUAUUUUAAUAUUUAGUUAUGUAUUUUUAUUUAUAACUUUAUAUUCUAGUAUAAAAUUUUAUUAAUUAAUAUUGUUGUAAUAUGUGUUAUAUAUGUAGCUAUUUAUAAAAAAAAAUAUUUGAUCUACAUUAAUAAGGAUUAUAGAGUAGACUACAAAUAGUUUUAAAAUUAAGUUUGAAGUUUUACUAAAGUUUUGAAGUCGGUGGACAAGGUAACAUAUAUACUAUUGUAAGUUCAUAAGGUAACAUAUAUACUAUUGUAAGUUCAUGAAUAUGAUCAAGCUUAGAGAACCAACAUUUUGGAACUUGGCGCAAUCUAUAUAUUUCGUUAUGCAAUUUACAUAUUUUGUUCGGAUCGGAUCUGAUGUUUUAAAACUUUGAGGCACACUUUCUCUUUAAGAUCUUUGUGCAGGAAUGCAUUGUUAACAUCCAUCUGAUGCAAAAUCCAUACUUUACCUGUAACCACUCGUAACAACCCUCGCACUAUUGUCAUCUUAACCACUGGUGUUAACGUCUCUUUAAAAUCUCUGUCUUUCACUUGUCUAUUUUCCAAGACAACCAGUAGUGUCUUAAGCCUUUCCAUAGUACCAUCGACAUUGUACUUAUAUUUGUACACCCACAUUUUAUCAAUAGCUUUCUUUUCUGGUGGCAAAUCAACCACAUUGAACGUCUUGUUAUCUUCAAUCGCCACAAUCUCUUUUUUUGUAUUAAAUCCACGCCAAAUUUUCUGUUGCAUUGCUUCUUUAUAUCUCUUUGUUCUUGUUCAUUUGUAAUUGCCACCAAGAACGCCUUAUGAGCUGGAGAAAAACGUUCAUCAGAUAUGUAGUUAUCAAGUGGAUAUGGUGUUUUAGCUGGAGAAAAACCUUAUGAACUAGUCAAAUUAUUUUUCUCUCAUUUGUAUUUAUAUUGUAGGUAUUAUUGCAGAUUACUCCUGAAAUUGUGUGAGAGCUCACAAGUAGUAGAAACCGCGGAGAGAGGGAGUAUCAUUCAAAUUCAGCUUCUACGAUCAACAACAAGCCUAUCAAAGAAAACAGCUCAAACUAAUCAGGACCGGAUCUGGACAUAGGCAAGUGAAACAUUGGCCUUGGCCCUCACAAAUUUUGGAGGUUUUUUAUGGUCCGACUGGCGGGUGCGGGAGUUUGCAGAUACGGAUGGUUGCAGUUUCAAGCGUUUUAUAUGAAUGGUACAAUAUUUGAAAUUUGUUGCGUCUGCAAAAUAUUUAUGACUAGUUGAUUAUGAGAUAUUGCAGCGG